rnacentral:rRNA from 1 species
AACGGCCGCGGUAUCCUAACCGUGCGAAGGUAGCGUAAUCACUUGUUCUUUAAAUGAGGACUAGUAUGAAUGGCACCACGAGGGUUAAGCUGUCUCCUUUCUCUAAUCAGUGAAACUAAUCUCCCCGUGAAGAAGCGGGGAUACUACUAUAAGACGAGAAGACCCUAUGGAGCUUAAAACAAAUUAACACCUGCUUCUAUUUAUUUUUAUUCCUGAACUGACACAUAAAACACAGCAUCAUUGAUUUACAGUUUUCGAUUGGGGUGAUCAUGGAGUAAAAACCAACCUCCACGACGAAAAGGGGUAUUUCCCUGAGCUAAAAGCUACAACUUUAAGCACUAAAAAAUUAACGCACUUUGACCCAAAAUUUUGAGCAACGAACCAAGUUACCCUAGGGAUAACAGCGCAAUCCAUUUCAAGAGCCCCUAUCGACAAAUGGGUUUACGACCUCGAUGUUGGAUCAGGGUGCCCCAGUGGUGCAGCCGCUACUAAAGGUUCGUUUGUUCAACGAUUAAAACCCUACGUGAUCUGAGUUCAGACCGGAGAAAUCCAGGUCAGUUUCUAUCUAUAAAGGGCUUUUUCUAGUACGAAAGGACCGAAAAAGCAUGGCCAAUGAUCAAUUAAGCCAUAUAAAUUACUCAUGCUUUCAACUUAAUUAGAAGUAAACCUACUACAAACCUCAAAAUAAAGAGAAGUUAACGUAGCAAAACCUGGCCCUGCAA